GAUCCCUUGUCAUAGCGAUGCAGAUGGAGGCGAAGCGGCUGAUCGAUGGGGAAUUGGGGAUCCUAUCGGACACGCGAGGGGGAGGCGAAUAUUCGCCGCUGACGAGGCAGGUCGAGGCGAAGCAUCACCGCGGCCGCCACGGUCGAUUGAAGCCUCUUUGCGGGCAUUAAUGGAUGUACGUUUUCUGCUUUGCCGGCCUUUGAGUUCAUGCUCAUGUAUAUACAUAUAAAUUCGUCACCUGGCGCUCUCCAUCACACUUCGUGUUCCGGCAGGAUCACUUGGAGCAGCUAUUUUUAUUGGUUAGGUUGCCUCUAUCUUUAUCUUUGUUGCGGAUACUCCUCCCCUCCCCCUUCAACCCUCUCUUACAAUCACCGUUGUGUACAUAAAGUAUUCAUUCUGUUCUGGUCAAAUGAUGAAGGCAAAAUUUUAAAGGCUUAUAUUGCUCUAGGAGACUAUGGAUUCAUCCUCAACUGCCGAGCGGCCAUCUCCACGACAAGCUCUAUUUAUUGUCGAGCCGGUGGGUAAGCUUUCAAAGGUCACUGAAUGGUGUUGUUGAUCAAAAUGUACGGGCUGCAUAAGGCCGUGGACUAUCUAGAUCCAGACAUGGACAUCUUCAGAUGCAUUUGGAGAGCUGGUGUUAUGCCAAACUUCUGAAAUUUUGCUUUAUUUGUGUCAAGUUUUAUGAGCAUCCAGACAACUUGCAUCUUGAAAAGCUUGGAAUAUUUGACACAUUGGCACUAUGUCAAGGAAGGAUUUUUCAGUUUGACGGUCAUUCUAAAUAUGAUACACCACCUUUCAUGUACUGAAGAACCAACUUGCAUAUUGCAGAGCACUGGUAGCUCUGUUAAUCCUAGCCCAUGAGUAGUCUCACUCGAGUCUAAUAUGACAUAGAUGGUGAAGAGCAGGCCAACUAUGAGCAAAGUACUAACCAUGGUGUAUAGUGGUUUUCUUUGGCAAUGUUUCACUCGCAUGUUCCCAAUUUAUCAUGGAUAAUAAUAUUAUUUUUAGGUAUGUAUGAAUACAUUCAUGUGCAUAACCAAUC